rnacentral:rRNA from 1 species
CCUACGGGGGGCAGCAGUGGGGAAUAUUGGACAAUGGGGGCAACCCUGAUCCAGCCAUGCCGCGUGUGUGAAGAAGGCCCUCGGGUUGGAAAGCACUUUCAGUGAGGAAGAACGCCUGGUGGUUAAUACCCAUCAGGAAAGACAUCACUCACAGAAGAAGCACCGGCUAACUCCGUGCCAGCAGCCGCGGUAAUACGGAGGGUGCGAGCGUUAAUCGGAAUUACUGGGCGUAAAGCGCGCGUAGGUGGCUUGAUAAGCCGGUUGUGAAAGCCCCGGGCUCAACCUGGGAACGGCAUCCGGAACUGUCAAGCUAGAGUGCAGGAGAGGAAGGUAGAAUUCCCGGUGUAGCGGUGAAAUGCGUAGAGAUCGGGAGGAAUACCAGUGGCGAAGGCGGCCUUCUGGACUGACACUGACACUGAGGUGCGAAAGCGUGGGUAGCAAACAGGAUUAGAUACCCUUGUAGUC